GCCUGGGUGGCUCAGUCGGUUAAGCGUCCGACUUCGGCUCAGGUCAUGAUCUCACAGUCUGUGGGUUCGAGCCCCGCAUCGGGCU
rnacentral:tRNA from 1 species